CCCUUAGAUGUCCGGGGCCGCACGCGCGCUACACUGAAGGAAUCAGCGUGGCUUUCUCCCUGACCCGAAAGGGUUGGGAAACCCGUUGAAUCUCCUUCGUGAUAGGGAUUGGGGCUUGAAAUUGUUCCCCAUGAACGAGGAAUUCCCAGUAAGCGCGAGUCAUCAGCUUGCGUCGAUUACGUCCCUGCCCUUUGUACACACCGCCCGUCGCUCCUACCGAUUGGGUGUGCUGGUGAAAUGUUCGGAUCGGCCGUUUGUCGCGGUUUCCGCGUCAUGUGGCUGAGAAGUUCAUUAAACCCUCCCACCUAGAGGAAGGAGAAGUCGUAACA
rnacentral:rRNA from 1 species